AUCCCAUGAUGAGGAUAGGCACGAAUGUACUCAUUGAGACGUUCCCAUGCUUCAGGAAUCGUCUCAUCGGACUGUUGUUGGAAGCUCAAAAUCUACCCACCAGGGCA
rnacentral:snoRNA from 1 species